rnacentral:rRNA from 1 species
UACGAAGGGGGCUAGCGUUGCUCGGAAUGACUGGGCGUAAAGGGCGCGUAGGCGGCUUGCACCGUCAGAUGUGAAAUUCCUGGGCUUAACCUGGGGGCUGCAUUUGAUACGUGUGGGCUUGAGUGCGGAAGAGGGUCGUGGAAUUCCCAGUGUAGAGGUGAAAUUCGUAGAUAUUGGGAGGAACACCAGUGGCGAAGGCGGAGACCUGGGCCGAUACUGACGCUGAGGUGCGAAAGCGUGGGGAGCAAACAGG